rnacentral:lncRNA from 1 species
UGAGUGAGAGCAUAUCAUCCUUCAAGUGCUCUGAAGGUUACAUUAUGUGUGAAAGACUUCCCUUCCGCAAGGCGGAUGUACGAUGUUGCUAUACAUGUGCAUGUCGACGUCCUUACAAGACCUCCAACCUUCACACUGUGGAGUUGCACUUGCAAGUACUCAAGCACAAAAACCUAAGACAAUUUUACCCUCGGAUUGCUACUCCGACAAGGCCCCAAUAAUGUUCACGGAGGACAACGUGAGUUGAUCGUUUCCAUGCAAGUUGAUUUCGCCAUGUCUAAUCCACUCUUUCUUUUUCAACAUGAGAUGCUUCUGAUGAUAAGAACACCAAGAUCAGUAAACAUAAUAAGAUGGGUGUUUUGAAGGGCUGCUGCUGCUUCUUUCCCUAGCUCCGAGAAGUCCAUCUUGGAUGGAUGGCACACAAAGCUGUCUCAGUUCCUUGGAAGGCUGGAAAGCUGGCAGGAGUCUGAGGCCAAAACACUUGGGCUCUUCUUGCUUGCACUAUCACCAACAAAAAGCGAGGCAGAAAGUGUGGUGUCAUGCACUAGCCAGCCAGCCAGCCAGCCAGCCAAAAAAUUAUUUGACCUACUGGUGGUGGGGGGUCCUCAGCACCACCUCACAUUCUGGUGGCCACAGCCCAGUGGUGAGAGUGGGGUCCUGUCAUUGCCCUCACCAUGCAGAAUAAUGAGAGAGAAGGAAAAGGGAACAGUUGGAGCUUCUUUUGAGGAAAGAGAAGUACAGUAGACCACUCAAGGCACCUGGAGGCAGUUUCAGCAUUGUACAUCAAGGAUGGAUUUGAUGUGUUGAGGCUUUCAUCUCAGAUACUACUCUCAUCACUUGCACAGAGAGAGAGAGAGAGAGAGAGAGAGAGAGAGAGAGAGAAUGUGCAAAGAUAGAUAUGUUUAAUCCAACAAGUUAGAUCCUUGAGGCAUCAAGAACAUGAACCUGAGUAGAAGAAGAUGCCAUUAAACUUGGCCAGGACCCUGCUAGAGUUGGGUAGCAGAUGAAAUGUAGCAGUACGGCUGCUUCAUGCCAACAUGUGGGAUUACCAUGAGAAGAACAAACCUGUUGCUUCAGAUCUUUUUUCUCUUCAUACAUGGUAUUACGGUUCUUCUCUGUCAGAGAUCAGAUCUCAUUGCGAUGAGCUGCAUGAGGGAGAAAGAGCUCAAAACCGAAAACAUUCAGUACACUAAUCAACAUCCACAACAUAAAAUGUCAACCAUUUAUGUACCAGAAACAAAGUAAGUCAAGAUGCAUAUGGAUGGCUGCAUAAAACUUGCUCCUAGAGAGAGAGAGAGAGAGAUCACAGCUAUAUUUCUUGUGGCAACUGUGUAUGUAUGCUAUUUGUAAUCUUUCAACCCAAAAGAGCAUAAAAGGCAGAGCUCGUCAUCAUAUAUCUUGUUCAUGAUCAUGUGAGAGCAGUUGAUGCUCACAUGUUAUAUAAGAAAAUGAAUAGAAAUCAAUACUAUUAAAGCAAUAUAUCUUUAUUUGAGAUUCAAUAUGGAAGAGAGAGAGAGAGAGAGAGAGAGAGAGAGAAGCCCCAUCCAAAUAUUUCUCAGGGAUCUGACACAUCUGAACCCUAGAGAAUCUCAGCAGAGAGAAUGAGACUUACAUUGGAAACUAUUAUAAGC